UAAAAAGCUGUGAAGGAAAAUAGUAAAAAACAGAUUGUAUUCAGAGAAUGAGUGGAUGGUGAAAACUCAUUACAAUGGUUUUUGAAUCUACUCUAGAGCUUCUAGUUAAAGCUAGACGUUUACCUACGUUAUAGGUCUGAGAGGAUUAUACAUUUUAGUAUAGUCAAUUAGGGUGGCAACGCGGAUAAAAGAUUUUCGUCCCUUUU
rnacentral:ncRNA from 22 species